UCUUGGGUGGCCUGCAGCAGUGCCUCGGCCCAGUCCAGGAUGGGCUGGGGCAUCUGCUUGUCUUGGUCUGGGGUGUUGAGGGCUCUUCUGUUUAUGUGAAUAUCCUCAGGGUGGGCCAGAGUGAAUGAGACUCCCUGUCCAGGGAAAAGGUGACUGGCCAUGCCCACUCUUUCCAUCACUGUGGGCUUUACGGCCGUGAUCACAGCAAGCGGGUUCCUGUGGGAAGGGCCAGGAGGCAGCUCCAGCAUGGAAGGAGGUUAUGAAGACUGACCUCCAAAGAGUGGAGCAGACUUGGGGAGAGGUGUCUAAUGGGGCCUUAUAAGUAGACUGGACUCCAGACAGGCAGGAGGGGCUGGGAACAAGUUUUGCUUGCGCCUUUGCCUAGGGUAUUGAGGACAAAGAUGGGGAAAGAGGCAGGUAUCCUCGCCAAAAGGAGACUGGCUACAUUUCCCAGAUGUCUGGGACAACAUGGUUGCCCCAUCUGCCCCUCUUCUCCCAUGGUCCCUUCCCAUUUCAUCCCCAAAACACUCAGGGAGUCAACAGACAAGGGGCCAGUCCAGAAAUUAUAGUGAAUCACAAAACAUGAGGCAGAAAGAUUCUUAAUUCAUGUGUUCAUUACUUAUGAUGAAACUGUCCCCACAAAAGGAAGUGACUUACCCAAAAUGGACAUGUAGCUACAUUUCUAAGAAGGAAUUAAGAAAAUAAUUCCUGACUUUGCUGGUUUCUGAUAUGCUAAGCUGCCUGUGCCAUCUCCUAAUGCUGUGCUUGGUUCCCAAUCUCCCAAUUUGACCCAAACUCACGUCCCUGCAUCCACCCUGUCCUGUUCUCGUGAUUUUGCCUUGUGCAGAUGAAACCUGUUCAAGGCAAAUCCCUUCUGACUGGCUGGUGGUGAUUAAACCAUCUUCUGAUCAGUCAGAACUCCCCUGGUCCUUAAUUACUGUGCUCUUCCAGGAAGAGUCCCAUAAUGCAUGUGUUUGUAGAUGAUUUGUAAAGGUGGGUUCUGAAAACAAAGAAACAGAGACUAAGUGCCUUUUAAAGACAAAUACUUCUUUUGUUGAUACUUUCAAUAAAUAUCUGAGUGGCUACCACAUGCCAAGAACUAUUACAGGGUUGGGAAAAAGAAUCUCUGAAUUAUGAUAUAUCAAUGGAAAAA
rnacentral:lncRNA from 10 species